GACGAACGCUGGCGGCGUGCCUAAUACAUGCAAGUCGAGCGGAUUUUCAUUAGCUUGCUUUUGAAGAUCAGCGGCGAACGGGUGAGUAACACGUGGGCAACCUGCCUGUAAGACUGGGAUAACUUCGGGAAACCGGAGCUAAUACCGGAUAAUCCUUUUCCUCUCAUGGGGAAAAGCUGAAAGACGGUUUCGGCUGUCACUUACAGAUGGGCCCGCGGCGCAUUAGCUAGUUGGUGAGGUAACGGCUCACCAAGGCGACGAUGCGUAGCCGACCUGAGAGGGUGAUCGGCCACACUGGGACUGAGACACGGCCCAGACUCCUACGGGAGGCAGCAGUAGGGAACCUUCCGCAAUGGACGAAAGUCUGACGGAGCAACGCCGCGUGAGCGAUGAAGGCCUUCGGGUCGUAAAGCUCUGUUGUCAGGGAAGAACAAGUACCGGAGUAACUGCCGGUACCUUGACGGUACCUGACCAGAAAGCCACGGCUAACUACGUGCCAGCCGCCGCGGUAA
rnacentral:rRNA from 1 species